UCCUACGGGAGGCAGCAGUAAGGAAUAUUGGUCAAUGGACGAAAGUCUGAACCAGCCAUGCCGCGUGGAGGAUGAAGGUCCUCUGGAUUGUAAACUUCUUUUAUAUGGGACGAAAAAGGGGCUUUCUAGCCCAACUGACGGUACCAUAUGAAUAAGCACCGGCUAACUCCGUGCCAGCAGCCGCGGUAAUACGGAGGGUGCAAGCGUUAUCCGGAUUCACUGGGUUUAAAGGGAGCGUAGGUGGGCUGGUAAGUCAGUGGUGAAAUCUCCGGGCUUAACUUGGAAACUGCCAUUGAUACUAUCAGUCUUGAAUAUUGUGGAGGUCAGCGGAAUAUGUCAUGUAGCGGUGAAAUGCUUAGAUAUGACAUAGAACACCAAUUGCGAAGGCAGCUGGCUACACAUAUAUUGACACUGAGGCUCGAAAGCGUGGGGAUCAAACAGGAUUAGAUACCCUGGUAGUC
rnacentral:rRNA from 1 species